AAUGUCCUUGUCAAAGCCUAAUCUUGCCUGAUCUCAUUAGAUCUCAGAAGCUAAGCAGGGUUUGGCCUGAACAGUACUUGCAUGGGAAACUGUGCAUGGGGGAGAUCAUUUUAGUAAUGUAGGCCAAAGGCUUUU
rnacentral:rRNA from 1 species